CCUACGGGAGGCAGCAGUGGGGAAUAUUGGACAAUGGGGGGAACCCUGAUCCAGCCAUGCCGCGUGUGUGAAGAAGGCCCUCGGGUUGUAAAGCACUUUCAGUGAGGAAGAACGCCUGGUGGUUAAUACCCAGCAGGAAAGACAUCACUCACAGAAGAAGCACCGGCUAACUCCGUGCCAGCAGCCGCGGUAAUACGGAGGGUGCGAGCGUUAAUCGGAAUUACUGGGCGUAAAGCGCGCGUAGGUGGCUUGAUAAGCCGGUUGUGAAAGCCCCGGGCUCAACCUGGGAACGGCAUCCGGAACUGUCAAGCUAGAGUGCAGGAGAGGAAGGUAGAAUUCCCGGUGUAGCGGUGAAAUGCGUAGAGAUCGGGAGGAAUAGCAGUGGCGAAGGCGGCCUUCUGGACUGACACUGACACUGAGGUGCGAAAGCGUGGGUAGCAAACAGGAUUAGAUACCCUGGUAGUC
rnacentral:rRNA from 1 species